AUACGAGGGGUGCAAGCGUUGUUCGGAAUUACUGGGCGUAAAGGGAGCGUAGGCGGAGAUUCAAGCGGAUUGUACAAUCCCGGGGCCCAACCCCGGCUCUGCAGUCCGAACUGGAUCUCUUGGAUAGUUCAGGGGCAGGCGGAAUUCCUGGUGUAGCGGUGGAAUGCGUAGAGAUCAGGAAGAACACCGAUGGCGAAGGCAGCCUGCUGGGGACUUAUCGACGCUGAGGCUCGAAAGUGCGGGUAGCAAACAGGAUUAGAUACCCUGGUAGUCCGCACCGUAAACGAUGCAUACUGGGUGUCCGGGGGUUCCCCCGGGUACCGUAGCCAACGCGUUAAGUAUGCCGCCUGGGGAGUACGUACGCAAGUAUGAAACUCAAAGGAAUUGACGGGG
rnacentral:rRNA from 1 species